rnacentral:rRNA from 1 species
CAGUAGGGAAUCUUCCGCAAUGGGCGAAAGCCUGACGGAGCAAUGCCGCGUGAGUGAUGAAGGUUUUCGGAUCGUAAAGCUCUGUUGCCAGGGAAGAACGCUUGGGAGAGUAACUGCUCUCAAGGUGACGGUACCUGAGAAGAAAGCCCCGGCUAACUACGUGCCAGCAGCCGCGGUAAUACGUAGGGGGCAAGCGUUGUCCGGAAUUAUUGGGCGUAAAGCGCGCGCAGGCGGUCAUUUAAGUCUGGUGUUUAAUCCCGGGGCUCAACCCCGGAUCGNCACUGGAAACUGGGUGACUUGAGUGCAGAAGAGGAGAGUGGAAUUCCACGUGUAGCGGUGAAAUGCGUAGAUAUGUGGAGGAACACCAGUGGCGAAGGCGACUCUCUGGGCUGUAACUGACGCUGAGGCG